CAGUCGCCACGGUAAUACGUAGGGUGCAAGCGUUAAUCGGAAUUACUGGGCGUAAAGCGUGCGCAGGCGGCUAUGCAAGACAGAUGUGAAAUCCCCGGGCUCAACCUGGGAACUGCAUUUGUGACUGCAUGGCUAGAGUACGGUAGAGGGGGAUGGAAUUCCGCGUGUAGCAGUGAAAUGCGUAGAUAUGCGGAGGAACACCGAUGGCGAAGGCAAUCCCCUGGACCUGUACUGACGCUCAUGCACGAAAGCGUGGGGAGCAAACAGGAUUAGAUACCCCUGUAGUCCCUGUCUCUUAUAC
rnacentral:rRNA from 1 species